AUUGGAUCUGGAACAUCAUAGCCAGCGACAUAAAGAGUGAUUGGUCCAUGUGGUUUGCUAAUGACACACCGUUGGACAUCGGCAUCAUCACCACAAUUCGAAAGAAAUGGGCAACAUUUUUUUUAAAGACAGCAAUAAGUCAAAACGGCUAAUGAUGGCGUUGGAGUAUUUUUUUCCCUGUAUUUGAGACAAUUGUUAUGUUAUUUGACACAGCGGCUAUUUUAUUUUCGGUCAUGCUACUAAUAUUCUAUUCUUAGUAUUACCUACUCAAUUUCAUAUAAUUGUAGUAAUAUAUUGUCUUUACCCCCUUCUACUGCAUUGCAUCUGCAUUUGAUUACCACAGCAACAAUUUAGUGCAGCUAUAGUACCACCAAGCUUGCCACUGCAGCAGUUAAGUGAACAAAUGAAGUGUCCACAGUCAUUGGAUGGUUGCUUGGUAGAGGUACAUGCUAAUAACUAAUAAGAUUUCCUGUGCAGGGUAUCAUUGUUUUUGCAUGACUGAUGGCUACCUUGGGGCUGGAGAUUUUGGUUGAAUCUGCCUCAAGUGUUAUUUUGAAGAUGAUAUUAUCAUUUGACCUUGCUUUUGCUUUGAUUCCGCUCCUAAAGUUCAGUAGCAGCAAAGUGACUAGCAGCACAAGCAUUGAAGAGAGAUUGCAGGGAUUCCAAGGGAAGGGGACCAGGGGAUGAAAAAUAUGAUUAAAGAGAGUUCUUGAGGAGUUUGUCACAUGCUCAGGGAAGUGGAAGAUUUUGCACGAAGGUUAAAUUCUGCUUGGCCUGAAAGGAUGCAAAUUUGAUCUUUGGCCCAACACAGAAGACUAGUAACAAUUUCUAUGAAUAGCAAUGGUUCAACGCAGUUGUAUAUAGGCAAAAUACUUCAACGACGGUCCUUAUGAAAACCCGUCUUUAUAGCCUUAUUUACCAACAACGACGGGUGCUCCAGCCACCGUCGUUGAAACCUCAAACAACAAUGACGGUGUACACACCACCGACGUUGACAUACUACCAAACAACGUCGGUGGUGAGCCCGCCACCGAUGUUGACAGGAAACAAAACAAAUACGGGUGUUAUUGGUACCCGACGUUGAUAUGGACAACAACAACGACGAGUCUUGCGAACCCGACGUUGAAAUGGACCAAAACAACGACGGGUUGUCUAAUAUGUGCGUCGUUGAAUCCUUUUUUAUAACGUCUAUUCUUUUAUAGCCACUGACGUUGUAUUCUUGCAUUACA